AUCCCUCCCAAGAUUCAUUGCGCAUUCAAUCAAUGGAGAUGGCGGAGAAUGGCGAUUUAAGUUCUGCAUUUAAAUGGGGCCAGCAGCAUACUGCUCGAUUUAUUCUAUUGAGGGGGGAGAAUGAUGAGCUGUUCACCGGGGUGAAAUACUCCGCAAGUGUGGCUUGGGGGUAAAGAAACAAUCGUUUAUUUAUAUCGUAAGUUAGUUUAUAAAAAUUAUUAUAGGCCAUUUAUAUAUCUUCAUUUGACCAUCUUGUAAAGGUUAGUUAAAUUAGCCCUCAUUAAACAGCAGGACCGAUACAACAUCCCCAGAAAUCCUUUACUACGAUGUCCUAUUUUGGGUUAUUAAAGAAAGAAAGACAAAAAAAAGUCACAGCUCGCAUCACCCCUAGUGGGUGCUACACACUGGUGGUGGUGAGUGAGGUCCCCCCCUUCAAUGUAAAGCGUCUUUGAGUGUCUAGGAAAAAGCGCUAUAUAAAUUCAAUGCAUUAUUAUUAUUAGACAGCACUAGAAAAACACACAAAGAAAAAGGGUGUUUUGACUUCUACUGGUUGUCUUAUUAUUAUGGGCUUCAUAUAGGAUGAGGGCUAAUUUAAAUGUAACCUUUACAAGAUGGUCAAAUAUAUAUAUUAUAAAUGGCCUAUUGUUAACAUGGGCUAUUAACAUGAUUGAUAAAUGUGUCUCUUGUUUUCUCUGAUUAAUAAUGUCUCUGUGUUUACUGUUUAGGACAAUUCUGGAGAAAAUAGGCCUGCAGGGUAAGGUGACUCCCCCGCUGGCAAAGAAAAACUUUUGCUGAAAUUAGUUUUGAUACUGCUCUUGUUGUUAACUGCCAUGAUGGAUUUCCUCUGCCUUAGGAUUGCAAGUAUCCAGGGUCAGGAGAGGGGGUAGGUGGGAAACCCACUGCUGUCACUUGGACCUGGUUUGUCCCCAUGGAUGAGGUAUUGUGACAGAUGCAUUCCACCAACCCCCCUGUCCUAAUUGCCUCCAUCCCUGAGAACACACCAGGGCCAAGUACAGCAAGUACAGCAGUGGUGGAUCAGGAGGUUGAGGACAAGGAUCAGGAGGAGGAAAGACAGCGAGGGCCAAGGUCCAGAAAGAGGGACAGAGAGGAAGACAUGUUCCAGAGUCGCUCACUAUCUUCCGAAAAGGACUCAAGAUUCACCUGUUCAGAGUCCACCUCGACUGCAUAGCCACCCUCCCCCUUCUGGCAACCAUUGUACACUGUGUUGUAUUGUAUUGUAUUAUAGUACUUAACUGUGUAGCAACUGCAGUAGCUGCUAUCAUGGCUGUAACACGGGGAAUGGGUUAGCCUAGCGAUUGUGGUACUUGCACUUGGUUCUAUGAACAUCCUUUCUGUACCGACAGCGAUAUAUUGAUGCACUUCUUAUGACAAAUGUACUUAUUGUAAGUCGCUUUGGAUAAAAGCGUCUGCUAAAUGCCCUAAAUGUAAAUGUAAAAUGUCAAUGUUCCAGUUAAUAAAAGAGGACAUGAGGCUACAAAGGGA